rnacentral:lncRNA from 1 species
ACAAGAUGUGCUCUCUUAUCUUCUCUUCAUCUUCAGACGUCUAUACUCUAAAGCUGUAGUAGUCCCGCACAGAUCUUAGUCGUAGAGGAAAUCUGAUCUGCUGCAGCACGGAAACAUCAGCCGUGGGAUGGCGAGACAAAUUCCUUAGGGAGCUGCCUAGGAAUGUGCUGUGGAGAUCUGCGGGGGCUUAUUUCCUUUUCUGAGAUCUGAGCCAAAGCUUAAGUCUCUUGAUGUGUAACCAUCAAAGGCAUUGAAGGUAAAUAACUUGCAGUAGUGCUGGUAAAUAAAUAUCUUGCAGACUAUUACUCA